rnacentral:lncRNA from 1 species
AUAAGACGAGCUUUUAUACUGCUCGAAUGAUCCAUCUAAAAUUUUUUUUAUGCCUGAAAAAUCGACAACUUCGAAACAUAUUAGCAUUAGACGGAUGGGGAGCUAAGUCUUGUGUCUUAUUUUCAAUAAGAGCAUUCAUAUUUCGUAUUUCAUGCCAUUUUUCUAUGUUAGGGUCAUGUUUAUGCCAUCUAUUAGGGUGUGUAUGGUGUAAGGAGGAUAUGGAAUUUUUGAGAUGAAAUAUUGUAGGUUAAAAAGUUUGUGAAGGUUUUACAUACCAUGUUUGGGCUCGGUAGUUCACUUGAGUGAGAAAUUUAUGGUACAUAUUGGUUGAUGGCGAACGUUGUUGAGCGUCAAUGUAGUAGCUGAGGUUUUGUUUACCGUGAGGUUGAAGGAAGAAAGAGCAUAUUGAUGUGGGGGGAAGAGAUUAGUUGGGAGGGUUCGUUGGUAGAGGGUAUAUAUGAAAGGUGGGUUGAGGUUUGGUGUUUGUGAAUAUUGGAUUGAAGGUAUUUAGAGGUUGAGUAUUUGGUCUGUAGAGGUGUCAUAUGUAGGAGGAAGGAAAUGUGUGUGAUUCUUAUCUUGGAAAAAAAUAUAGUAACCAUGUUAGAGGAGAAAUUUAUGGCAGAAGGGAAAACAUAUUUUUUCUUCAAAUAGACGAUGGCUUAGAAAUUAAAAAUCUUACGAUUGGACAACUCGAUAAACACUUAUAUCCUCUAUGAUGGUUGGAAAACCUAAGAGUACACAUGGUGGUUAGCCGAGCGUUGUAAUUUAUUUCUAGAGGUUGAGCGAAAUAGGAGGGUAAACUGUAACUUAAUUACACCGAAGACUCAAGAUGUGAAAAUAGGAAGAUUCUUUUUUGGUAGGAUAUCUUAAUGGGUUUAAUAGAGGGCAAGCUUUUCAGUUGAGAGAUGUUAUGCAAGUAUGUCAUCAUUUCAAGGUAUGGUGCCCCAAAAAAAGGAUAGUGGGACAGAGGCAUGGGCUAGGAAGGGGUGCCGAACAAUUUUGUUAUUUAUUUUACAAUUUUAUCUUCUCUUCUUUUCCAUUUUAAGGGGAAGUAUAAGGGACACGGAAGUUAUGUUUUUAACAUCUUCAUUAUUAAAUGCAUUUUGUAUGGAAAGGUUUCAUUCUAGGAGAAGACCCAAAGGGGUUUCAAAUUCCAAUAUUAAAAACAUUCAUUAUCAAUGGUAAAUUUUCUCUAAUAGAGACGAUAUUUUUUAUUAGAUCUCUCCUAUAUAUAUAUGUGUGUGUGUGUGUGUUUGUGUGCGCGCAUUUAUGAGUGUAAAGAUGAUAAUUCUUAUCAGUGAUUUGAGUUAGAGAAUUAAAAUUUAAAGUAUAUAUCACAAAGGUAACUUGUGGAACUCUAAUAUUAUAAAUGAUACUUUAAACCCCUCCUACACAAAAAGGAUAAACAAUUCCAAUAUGAGAAAGACUAUCUUGUGUGUAUAGGUAGUAAUAGUAGUAUUUACCGUGUGAAAAUGAGUUAUCACUUUAUCCAUACAAAAAUAGAUAAUACUUUUCUUAACACUUAUAAUCCCUCCAAAGAUAACAAUAUUUGGAGAAAACAACCUUGGAAGGUGGGGUUCCCUCCGAAAAUCAAAACCCUUAUUUAGUAUAUUAUUAGCAAAUACAUUUCUUACAUAGUCGAUUUAAAUGAAAUAUGGACAAAUUUUCGUACUUUCCCAUGUGUGUUUACAACAUAUUAAAACACAUCAUACUUUUAAGUCACGUGUUUUGGCUACUCAAAUAUGAUUUUACCCUAAUUUAUCUUAAAAAAUUUCUACCCAUCUCAUGGAUUUUGACAAGAGACAGUUGGGGGAGAUGAUUACUGAUAGAUGGAUGAAUAUUGAUCGUAAUUUUUUCAUUGAUAUGGGUAUAUAUAUAUAUAUAUAUAUAUAUAUAUAUAUAUAUAUAUAUAUAUAUAUAUAUAGACAUCAAAUGUAUCCCUAAUAAUCCUAAAUAAAAUAUUCAGUAAUUAUUUAUAAUAAACUCUAAUUAUAUCCUUUUAUAUUUAAAUAGUCUAAUACAUCCCAUAGUUAAAAUUGGAGGUGGACAAAUGUUGAGACUAUUCCUAAAGUUGUUAAAAUGUUAUAGUGGAAGGCCCUUCAUGAAUAUAUUGGCAAUUUGAUAACAAGAGGGAACAUGUAAUACACGCACUUGACCGCAAACAACUUUUUUCCACACAAAGUGUAUAUCCAUUUUGAUGUGUUUGGUGUGUUGAUGUUGAACUAGAUUGUCGGAAAGGUACAUGGCGAUGACCCUGUCAUUAUAGAUUAAAUUUGCUUUUGUAAUAGGGCAAUGUAGUUCUAGAAGUAGAUUUUGAAUCUAGCACGAUACAAACACUACAUUAUCCACCCAUCAGUAUUCGACCUCUGCACUCACUCGAGACAAGGUAUGUUGAUCUUUUGCAUACCAAAACAACAAAUUGUCACCAAGAUACAUAUAAUACCCAGAGGUAAAUAUUCUUGUGUCUGGACGGCCAAUCCAAUAAGCGUCUUUGUAAGAAACAAGCUUGUCAAUGGAGGAAGAAUACAUGUGGAGGCCAAAUUCAAUAGUACCAUAAGUGUAUCAAAUGAUCCAUUUUAAGGCAUACAUGUGUUGUAUUUUUGGAUCAUACGUGAAGAGGUACACUUGAUGAACGACAUAUAAAAUAUAUGAUCUUGUAAAUGUCAAAUUCUAUAAUACACCUGCAAGACUUCAAUAUUUUGUUGGAUCUGAUAGGGAUUACCCGAGGACCCGCUGGAUUUUGAUUUGGUAUCCAUCGAUGUUGGGGAUGGCUUGUAUGAGGAUAUUUAUGCACGUUCAAUAAUUUUUUAUGCAUAUUUUUUCAGAGAGAAAAAUACCUCCUGAAUGCCGAGUAACAGAGAUUCCUAGAAAAUAACUCAAAGGACCUAGGUCCUUCAUUGCAAACUCAUAACUCAACUCGGACAUAAUAUACUCACAAAGAGAGUCAGAUGAAGUAGUAAGGAUAAUGUCAUCUACAUAGAGAAGAAUGUAAUCCAUGUCAUUCCCAUUAUGAUAAAUAAAUAAUGAGUGAUUACAAAUAUUGUGAGAGAAUCCCAUUGUAGCAACAUAAUCAAUGAAUUGUUGAUACCAAACGCAUAGUGCUUGUUUAAGUCCAUAGAGAGACAUUUUGAGAAAUAACAUAUGGUCCGGGAAUUGAGGAUGACGUAAGCCUAGAGGUUGGUGCAUGUACACGGUUUCAUCAAGAUUGUCGUGCAAGAAGGAUUUUUUAACAUCUAAUUGAUGAAGACACCAUGAUUUUGACAAGGCAAGACUAAGUAUUGUGCGAGUAGUAACCGAUUUGACUACAUGGUUGAAGGUUUCGCCAUAAUCGACACAUGUUUGUUGGUUUAUUCCAUUACCUAUAAGACGAGCUUUAUACUGCUCGAAUGAUCCAUCUAAAUUCUUUUUAUGCCUGAAAAAUCGACAAACUUCGAAUAAUAUUAGCAUUAGACGGAUGGGGAGCUAAGUCUUGUGUCUUAUUUUCAAUAAGAGCAUCAUAUUCGUAUUUCAUGGCCAUUUUCUAGUUAGGGUCAUGUUAUGCAUCUAUAGGGUUUGUAUGUAAGGAGGAUAUGGAAUUUUGAGAUGAAAUAUGUAGGUUAAAAAGUUUGUGAGGUUUUACUAUACCAUGUUGGGCUCGGUAGUCACUUGAGGUGAGAAUUAUGGUAAUAUUGGUGAUGGCGAAGGUGUGAGCGUCAAUGUAGUAGCUGAGGUUUGUUGUUUACCGUGAGUUGAAGGAGAAAGAGAUAUAUGUGUGGAGGAAGAGAUUAGUGGGGAGGGUUCGUUGGUAGAGGGUAUAUAUGAAGGUGGGUUUGAGGUUUGUGUUUGUGAAUUAUUGGAUUGAAGGUUAUUUAGGGUUGGAGUAUUUGGUGUAGAGGUGUCAUAGUAGUAGGAGGGAAGGAAAUGUGUGGAUUCAUUAUCUGGAAAAAAUAUAGUCAACCAUGUUAGGAGAAUUUAUGGCAGAAAAGGGAAACAUAUUUUCUUCAAAUAGACAUGCUUAGAAAUGAAAAUCUUACGAUUGGACAACUCAUAACACUUAUAUCCUCUAUGAUCGGUGGAAAACCUAAGAGUACACAUGGUGUUAGCCGAGGUUGUAAUUUAUUUCUAGAGGUUGAGCGAAUUAGAGGGUAACUAUACACCCGAAGACUCGAAGAUGUGAAUAGAAGGAUCUUUUUGGUAGAGUAUCUUAAUGGGUUAAUAGAGGGCAAGCUUUUCAGUUGAGAGGAUGUUAUGCAAGUAUGUCAUCAUUUUCAAGGUAUGGUGCCAAAAGGAUAGUGGGACAGAGGCAUGGGCUAGAAGGGUGCGAACAAUGUUAUUUAUAUUACAAUUUUUUCUUUCAUCUUUUCCAUUUUAAGGGGAAGUAUAGGGACACGAAGUUAUGUUACAUCUCAUUAAAUGCAUUCUUGUAUGAAAGUCAUUCAUAGAGAAACCAAAGGGGUCAAAUUCAAUAUAAACAUCAUUAUCAAUGGUAAAUUUUCUAAUAGAGACGAUAUUUUUUAUUAGUUUAGGGGCAUGUAAUACAUUGUGUAAAUUGAAAGAGUAUGGAGAGGUAGGUAAUGAUGCAUGUCCAUAACCAAUAACCGGAAUAUUGUGACCACUACCAAUAGUAAUAUUGUUGCUCGUAUUGAAAUAUGACAUACGGUUACCUUCGCUCACCGUCAUAUGCAUUGUAGCCUCGGUGUACAUAUACCGUUGAUCAUCUGGAGGAGAAAUAGAGAAUGUAUGCAUAUCAGCCUGAAUGCCUGUUAUAGCAUAUUGAGCAGUGAUCACUAAAUGAGCCUGAUGAUUUGACUUUUGCCUAAGAAUACCAGCUUGCUUGUUUGAGUUUCCAAUUGUUGGGUACGGGCAUGAUGGAGUGGACCAAGGCUGCUGCCAUGGUGGAAAACUCCACUACUGAUUUUGGUUUGGUUGGGAUAUGAUAGAUAAGUCUAUUGUUGUUGUUGAUGUGGGUAAGGUGGUAUAAUACGAUAUGGAUGUUGAGAGCAAACACCACUGUAUCCAGUGUUUUAUCCUCUGCCACGGUAUAUGCGUCCAUAACCUUAUCUACCAUGAUUUUUAUUACCUCCGUUGCGGUUGGAAGGAGUAUGAGUUGAUGGAUCAAUGUAUGAUGUGAUGAAGGUAGUGUUGUCAAUGGUGCUAACUGCCUUUUUCGCUCUGGUUGUAUCUUCUAAGAUAAUCACGGAGCAUGCUUUGUAAAAGGGAAGAAGAGAAUCAUUAUGAUGAAUUUGUGAGCCUACAGUAUCAUGGGUGUUGGUUAGGCCUGAGAUGAGUUGAAGAACCAGACGUUCAUUAGAGACAGGAGUCCUGACAUUCGAUAGUUGGUUAGAGAGGUAUUUGAGAUGCUGACAGUAAGAUGAUGCAUCAGAGAAUGGUUCCAUAUAUAUACAUACACGUCGAAUGUAUCCUUAAUGAUCCUAAACAAGGUAUUUGAUGAAUAUUUACAAUAAACUCUAAUUAUAUCCUUCUAUAUUUACAUAGUCUAAUAAUUACAAAGAAAAAAAAGGAUUUGAUCAAUAUGGUUUUCUAUUUUUUUUUGUACAUGGCAAGAUACGAACAAAGUUAUUUUUUUAUGAAAUAAAUAUUCCUAAUAAGAAUUCCAUCAGCUACGCAUCGAACCAUAUUAAUAUAUAAAAAAUAUAAUAAUGGUCUCAACAAGGAAUAUGAAGAAAAACCAUUUAUGCAAAUCCAUAAAACAUCACUAAAAAUACAGAAAGCCAUAAAGGUUAUUCUAACCACAUGCAAACAAUUUUGAAGAUAAACCGAUAAAUUUUACAAUAAAGUCAUUCAAAAUAAUAUAAUGUUCAUGUUGGGAUUCCUAACAAGUCGUUAAGAAACAAUGGAUUACCCAAAAUUAAAGAUAGUUCAUUUUCUUUUAUAAAUCUAAGAAAUAAAGUAGAGGUGAGAAAAAAGACAAAUGAAAAUUUCGUCAAUAAUUGAAAUCAUGUAAAAAUAUCAAAUAGUGUGAUGAAAAUAAAAUAAUAUAUAAAGGGUAUAAGGAUAUUGUUAACUUUAAUGGUAUUGUCAUUAACAUUGUGACAAAACUAGAGAAUAAGGUUCUCAGUUGUACACGCACGAGGAGUGUUUUUGGCUAGGUUUAAGGAAACUUUAUGAGACUCAUAUAUGUGGUUCAAUAUGAAAUUGGUGAAUGGGUUCUCAUUGCACCCUUAGUAUUUCUCAUAAACCCUAUGAAAAUCGAAAAUACCCUAUCACACCAUCCAUAUUUUAAGCUUCAGACGCACCACACAAUACAACAAAUAAAGUUCACUUAAACACAUCCAAUGCAAAAAUAGACAUGUUCGGAUAUCAAUAUCCGAAUAAAUCCUUCAAAAUUUAAAAUCUAGAUACACCCUUUAAAAUAUUGUGAAGUGUUUUUGCCUCCCUAUUCUUUAACAUUUGAAAAUAAAAGUCAAAAAGCACAUACACGACAAGAAGAACCUUUUUCAUGAGAAGUUUAAAAAAUAUCUCACUUUCUAAUCUAUAUCAUUCAAACUAAGUCCCUUAAUCAAUUUCGGUCAUUCAUUUCUCACAUUUGAAUAAUUUUCGAUAAAUUUCUCAUCCUAGCCUUUCUUUUUCUGAUUUUGAUGCAUUCAACUUCUUCCUAGUUUUUAAUUAAACUACAUUAUGUUCCAUUUAAUGUCAAUUUUAUAUCAUUUUUGUCCUACUUUAUUUGGUUUGAGUUUGGUACAUUUGGGGGUUAGGGUUUAUGGUUGGUAUAAAGUUUGAUGCAACAUAUACAAUUUUUAAAGUCCGAAUUAUUCCUGAGGAGAUCAAAAUCUAGAUGUUCCAUACAAAGUUCAAAGUCUGGAUAUUAUCUUUGGUCUUUAAGUCAGAUUUAUUUCUUUAAUCCAACUAUGUUUUUAGCUAUUAUUAGAAUUUUUGUGAUCUUAUUUUGGAUUAGUGUGUGUAUUUAUAAUUCUAAAUCAUGUGAAUAAAAAAAUAAUGUUUGUCAUGUUCUUCAACAUCAUUUUGUUUAGGUUUUAUUGGAUAGUUGUUUGUUAAAUUUUGAAGUUUAUCCUAAUUUUGAUUGUGAUAUACCUUGUCUUGUGUGAUUAUAGAAAUAUGUCUGACAAAUAACCGAGGUACAUACAAGGUUGGUUGUCUCAGUAUACUUCAGUGCAUAAUAUGAAAGCUGAAUUUUCUCGUGCAAUUGGAAAAUCAUCUAUUAUUGUUGAGGUAUCAUUGUCCCAUGUUCAUGGAUCUUUGGCACAUGAAGAUGAACAGGUUGUUACUAUACAUUCUCUUAGUGCACAUCCUCCAGUCGGACUAGCUGUUGUUGCACCUCAGUGUUUUUCUAGAGGGCUAUAUGACAUGCCACUAAUUCCUCAAUAUGCAAACCAUGAAAUGGCUCACGAAUGGGAAUGUGAGGUUGAAUUGAUGUAUUUAUUUUUGCAGUAACGUGAUACACUGGAGUGUAUAAAUUAUGGUAGGAAGAUAAAAAAGUUAUCGCAUCCAAAUGAGCAAUAGUUUUAGAAGGUAUUAGAAGAAUCUAGAUUGAAGUACUUUUAUAAGACAAAAUAUGGUUUCGUUAACCAUGGUCUUCUGUCAAUAUUUGUUCAGAUAUGGCACUGAAAGACGUCACCAUUUCCUCUUAGGUCAGUACCGUGAUACACUUAAGUGCAUAAAUCAUGGUAGGAAGAUAGUAAAGUUGUUGUAGCCAUAUGAACAAUGGUUUUAGAAAGUAUUAUAAGCAUUUGGGCUGAAGGAUUUUUGUAGGACAUAAUAUGGCUCCAUUAACCAUGGUCUUCUAUUGAUAUUUUUUUCCAGAUAUGACACUUAGAUACGUCACCAUUUUAGCUUUCCUUUGGUGAGGUAUGUAUUACUCUAUAUGAUGCAUCAGGCAUCCUUUGUGUUCCGAUUACAUGAAGAUUGUUAGACCCCUCUUCAAUUCAGAUAUUUGAGGCACUAGAGUUAUUGGUGACACAAUUAGGAGUUGAUUCAGGUGAUGUGACAAAGAAUAUAUUGUAGAUACCCAAGGAACACUUUCCAAAUUUUGAUUUCUAUAGGCUAAUUACAUAAACACUUGACUAUCGCUGAAAAUCAUGUUGGUGAUGAUGCUUGUGUUGUCUAUCAUAGACAACGUGCAUUGAAGAUAUUUUGUUUUGUUUUAGGUUGGCACGACUAUAUUUGUGGAUAAAGUGAGACAUAUGCCAAUGUUGUAUACCUUAAUUACUUUAUUAAGUUGGAUAGAUUCACAAGUAUAAUUAAGGGGUAUCUUGUUUGGUUUACUUGUACUCCAAGCUAUAGGAACUUAGUCAAUGGAAGACGAGAUAAAUGAGAUGAAUUAUUAAUUUAAUAGUGCUUGUACUUUUAUAUUAAUGAUUUCUAUCUGAACCAUUUGCAGGCAUGUAUCAUAUAGUGUUUUCUCGGUACCGUUGGGUGGUCGUAUGUUAUCGAAUUCAUUGAGGAGUUUCCAUGUGUGUUCUCAAUUAUCCCACUCACGGGGAAUCCGGUGACAGAGCCCUCUAAUCACAAUCUUUCUCUCAUUAUAGAGAAUGGUAUAAGUUCCACACCAUAUGGUGAGCAUCGUCAGACAUAACCAUUUGAGGAGAUAUGGUAGUACUCUAGAUGAUCGGCUUGCGGGUUGACAUAUGUACCCAUAUUUUUCCGAGCGAGUAUUGAUACAUUAUGGUUAUGUAUAGGGUAUACAUUACGCCUCCCACUGAAUGUUGUAGACAUAUUUAUGUGUGGUUUAUAGAUUACCAUGAUCAUGUGGUAUUAUAUGGUGUAUGUAAUAUGACAACUCCUAGUCCAUGGAGUCCGAUAUACUGAUACAUUCUAUGGUUUUACAUAUUUUCCAAUCCUUAUAUUAUAUGAAUGUCAGUUGGAAACCCCCCAAGACGAUCUCACCAGGAGAUAUUAAAGGAGGAACAUGCAUGAGUGAACUGUUAUGUGGAUGUCUUGCAUAGUUGCUUUCGUAUCAACUAUUGGAGAAGUUGUCAUAAGUAAAAGAGAAUUUCAGGAAGAUGACUCCUAAUGGGACACCUUACAUGCGAUAUUAUCAUAGGCAUGAUGGGUGCUUAAGCAUAUGAGGCAGAGGAGGAACAUGGGUGCGCGACAUAUCAAAUAAUUGUAUUUUAUGUAAACAUUUUCUGUUGUAGGUUGUGAAUUAUUUUAUGUGACUUAUGUAUAUCUGAUGGUUUAAUAUAUAAAAUUUCAUUGUGUUAAAAAUGUUCCAUCAAUAUAUGGUAAUUAUAUUAGUGUGAUUUUAUUCUCAACCUAAUACGAGAGUUGUUAUACAUACGAAAAAAUGUGACACAAAUGUAUGGUAAAAAUUGACAUUGAGUCACUAUCCCAUGGAUGUGUACGAAGAUCUUAUUCAAACACAUCAUAUUUUUCAAAAUAGAAAAUUUAGUAUUGUCAUAGGAGUGUGUACGAAAAUUGUAAUAUGAACAUACAACGUAUUGGAAAUAGGUAAUGAAAUUUGUCAUAAGUGUGCGAAGAUUGUAAUUUAAACACAUCCUGUUUUUCAAUUUCCCUUGAAAAUAGACAGUAAAUUUUGUCCCAAUGUUGUGUAUGGAGAUUGUAAUACAAAAGUAUAUUGUCUUACAAAAUAUACAAUGAAUCAUUGUCUUAGGGGUGUGUACAAAGAUUGUAAUUCGGACACACCCUCUGUUGAAAAAUAGACAACGAAAAAAUGUCCCAUGGUUGUGUGUAGAGAUUGUAAUUUGAACACACCAUGUUUUUCAAAAUAGACAAUGAAAACCUAUUACCUGUUUUACCCAAUAAUAACAAGUAAAAACUAUAAUUUUAAUAUUGAUACAAAUAAUGUUCAAUCCAUGAAAAUAAGAAACUAAUAAUGAAAUACAAACUAUAAUGCAUCAAGAUUAUGUCAAUAUUACAUCAAUGAAAAUAACAAAGUAAUGUUACGUCAAUAAAAAUAGCAACAUAAUGUUACAUCCAUGAAAAUAUCAAAGUUUAUCCGCAUAAUAAAAUGUAAUAUACAAACUAAAAUGCAUCAAAAAUGUGUCGCCACCUAAAUCUACAGGUGUUUCCUCCUUUUACUUUUUUAUUUGACUUUCUUUCAAUGUCGUUUAAAUUGGUAAACUCAUCCAUCCUUAACUUAUUCAUUUCCCAAAGUUCCGUUAAUUAUAAAUCUCACAUUUUUUGUUAUAUAAUACCUACACGAUAAAGUUGGGAUGUAGGAAAUACCUUUACAAUAGAAUUCAUCAAUGAGAUAUAUGUUAGAACAAGAUUUGGUUCUACAUCAAUACAUUGAGUUUUAAUGAUAACAAUGUUGUAUUUGUAUGAGAACAAUUUUGGUACCCUAAUGGUUUGUUAUUGUGUAGUUUUAACAUCCAGAUUCGAUUCUGAGUAUAUGACGUGCAACGUCAUCAGUUUAUGAAUGAUGAGUUUCAUUUCCGCUUUUGCGUCAGUCAUAAGAAGUUCAGAAAGAUGUUCUAAGUUGCUGCUGUAAUGACCUUUCUGCUUCUGUGUUGAUUUACUCCUGAAAAGCUUCUGAGGAGACGUUAUGUUGUUAUUGCAACUUUCUCUCAAUUCUUGCUUCUGGACGUGACUCUGAUCACUAAGCUUCUGAAGAAUGACAAGCUUUUAAAGUUAUGUUACUUAGUUGAAGAUUCUGAAGAUCUCAAGCCAGACGUUAAGGUUAUCAAGGUUCUGACUGUAGAUUCUGAAGACUCUGAAGAUUCUGAAGAUACUGAAGAUCUCAAGCUAGACAACUAAUAUUGUCAAGGUUCUGACCAAAGAUUUUGAAGUUUCGGAAUCUAGCUUUAUGUUUCUUCAUUUCAUGCUUCAUCAACUUUCAUCAUAAGCCAAUGAACUUGAAGAUAAGAUAAAAUAGGCACGUGAUCAAAUAGUACAUAGUAUAAAUCAAAUAUCAUUUUCAAUACCUGAUUUCAUGGACAAGGACAGUACUAUACAUUACACUUGUCAUUGAAUUUGUCGGCGAAUGACAGUACGUACUAUCACUCCUUUCACCAUCCAACAGUGAACAACCGCUCUAUGAGAUUUUCCCAUUUUGCCCUUCAAAGGUCUUCUUCUUAUGCUAUAUACGUGACACUUUGAGACUCGAAGAAAAGCGACAGUGCUACAACAACUUGACAAGUAUGUUACUUUGUGAAAAACAAUAAUCUUUUGUACAUAGUUUUUCUUUAAGUGUUUGUUUAUCAUUUGUGUAAAAUCUGUUUGUAUAGAAGCAACUUGUAACACAUAAGAUAUUAUUCAAACUAUUUGUUUGAUUCCUUAAGGAGACUAGGGUAUAUUCGGAUCCUUGAGAAGAAAAAGAAGGUUAUUCUUUGUGAGUUCUUAAGGAGACUAUGGUAUAAUCAGAUCAUUGAGAAGAUAAAACAAGGCUAUUCUUUGUGAUUAUUGUAAUCUGUUGAAUAUAGUGGAUUAAGUCCCUGUGUAUAAGGCAAAAUCACAUUGGCAGGUGGACUAGAGUAGCUUUAAGUUUCAAGAGAACCAGGAUAAAAACACUUGUGUUAGUAUCUCUUUGUUAGUAACUUUUAAGUGGUGUUCUUGAGUUGGUAAACAACUUUUGUUUUGUAAAACCCAAUUCAAACCCCCAUUUCUUGUGUUUUCACACCUUCAAUUAGCAUCAGAGCUCUGAUUCUGAUUGUGAUAAAAGUUUUAUCAACAUUUCACCGUGUUCAGUAUCGAUCCAGUUUUGUGUGAGAAAAAAUGGUUGUUGCUAACGUUGUUAACAAUAAUGAAAGAGAUCACUACAGUGCAAAACCACCAAUAUUUGGUGGUGAGAAAUUUGAUUAUUGAAAAGAUACAAGAUAAAGUUUCUUUCUUGGUUGCGAUGUUGAUCUCUAUGAUCUUGUAGUCGAUGGCUACGUUCACCCAGUUAAUAGAUGAUGUUGAGUUGUCUCUAAUUUAAAAGAGAGUCAACAAACUCUAGAAGCACAAUCACAAUGGUCAAGGGAAGUUCAGAGGAGAUAGAAGGACUGUUGGUCAUUUUGAUUCUUCGUUUGGACAAAAGAAGCAAGGUUAUGGAAAAGAAGUUAUCUACUUUGAGUGCAAGGAGCCAGACCACUAUAAAAAUGAUUGUCCUAAGCUGAAAAAGGACAGAAGACCUAAGAUAUUUUUUUCUAAAGGCAAGAAGGGGCUGAUGGCUACAUGGGAUGACUCAGAAUUUGAAGAAGAAGAUUCGGACGAAGAAAAAGACAACGUUGCAUUGAUGGUAACUACAGAUGAUCCAGAAGGUUCUAAAGAACCAAAAGAGAAUGUAUUAUCAGAAUCAGAAUCCUACUCCGAUUUUGAAGAGGUAUUUUUUAACCUAUCCCGUUCUGAUCUUGAAUCAUGUAUCUCUAAAAUGCUGGAAAAGUACCAGAGUUUUCAGAGUAAAUACAAGGACCUUAAACAAGUUCAAAUAGUUUCUUCUGAAACUCGCAGUGAGCUUGAGAAAGAUAUUUCCGCUCUAAAUGAAAAAGUAUUUUUUUUAUAAAGUAACAACUCUGCUCUGAAAAGCAAAAUUUCAAAACUAGGGGAGAAAAUAGUCUCAUAAGCUUAUGGUACAUAUUGUAUCAUUAGAUAUGACAGAGCAUUCUAGUACUUUCUAGAUAAAAGCAUAGAUAAAAGCAAAAUGACUUCUUUUAUCUAUGUAGUUAGCAUAAAUGGAAAUAAAGGUUUAGAUUGUACAUAAUCUAUAAAACCUGACGAAUGUCAAAAGGUAAAACCAAAACCUCUCUAUGUGCAUUUCGCGCCUGCUGGCAUUGAGCAUGAUAUUUCUGCACAAACACAAAAACAUACAAAGGAUAAGAAAUCAGUUCUGAAACCAAAGUAUCAUGCACAAAUUCCCCAUGAUUAUCUUUCUGCUCAAAGAUCCAAAGUUGUAAGAAACUCCGGGAAAACUAACAAGAGAGGGCCCAGAAAGUGGGUACCUAAGGAUAAAAUAAUUUAUGUUGCAGACAUCCUUAGCAGCUCAGGUGCAACACCAGUCAUGGUACUUGAACAAUGGAUGCUCGCGAUAUAUGACGGGCAUAAGAUCCAUGUUCCAAGAUUUGAAACUUAAUUCUGGAGGUUUCGUACGUUUCAGAGGAAACCAGAAAGGAAAGAUCAUUGGCUCUGGAACUAUUGGUAACAGUUAACUUCCUUCUAUUACUAAUGUUUUUCUAGUUGAUGGUCUGAUGCAUAACCUAUUGUCUAUCAGUCAACUUAGUGACAAUGAUUAUGAUAUCAUUUUUAAUCAAAAGUCAUGUAAGGUUGUUAGUUAGAAAGACGAUACAAUCAUUUUUAACGGGAAGACAAAGAACAACAUUUAUAAAAUCAGAAUUUAUGAUCUUGAGGAUCAAAAUAUAAAAUGUCUAAUGUCUGUAAAUGAAGAGCAAUGGGUAUGACACAUACGUUUGGACCAUGUUAGCAUGAGAAGGAUUUCUCAGCUAAAUAAGCUUGGAUUAGUCAAAGGCUUAUCCAACCUGAAGUUUGCUUCAUAUAUUCUUUAUGAAGCAUGUCAAAAAGAAUUUUUUUUCUAAAACAUCUUUCAAAGCCAAAACUGUUGUUUCUACCUCUAGACCGUUAGAACUUCUACACAUUGAUUUGUUUGGACCACUGAAAACCGCCUCUAUAAAAUUUGAGAUAAACGCUUAAGAUGUAAUGAACAAUCUCCAUUGGUGAAAUCAAUAGAAUUUAGGAUAAUAAUUUUCCUACUGUAAUAGCCUAUUGAAUUUUAAAAGACGUGUCGAAUGAUAUAUAAUUUGUUUGUAAAAAAUGAUUUAUUAUUUGACAUAUAUAUUUAAGAAUGUGGUUUUUAAAAUUUAAAGCAACUCAAUGUUUACUACAUAUAAUUUAAAAAAUUACACUAUAAGUUACAUAUUAAAAUUUUAGAUUAUAACAUUAUAAUUUCCCAUUACUCAUUUUUUAAAUGGUAUAAAUUUACAAAUUACAACUUAAAUGUGUACAUUUUAUUUUUGUCUAUAUCAAAUUAUAAGUUAUUUUAAAAAAAAUAUCACAAAUUAUAAAUCAUUUUAAUAUUCUAAUUAAACAAUAUUUUUUCUUACUAUCUCUUCAUUAAAUUUCUCUUUUCUAAAUCAUUAAUAAAAAUAAUUUAGAAUGUCUUUUUUUAGACAAAAUAAACUAUAUUCUUUAGUUUUCUAAAAUUUUCAAAAGCGCUAUAUAAUUUAAGAUGAAAAAAGUAUUUAAGAUGGAAAAAAAUGUAAAUCAACUCAGUUGAUAAUUAUGUAUGAACAUCAGAUACAGGGGUAUCAAAACAAAGAUGGAAGAAAUAUUAACGCACUUCUAACUCGCCAAACAAACAAACAAUGAUGUAAAAUUAUGACAACAUAACAUAAGUAAUAGAUCAAAGAAUUAAGCUCCUAAACUCAAGAGAAAUCCCUUUUAAUUUAUUACUAACCAACUUUUUAAAUGCACUACUUAUUCCUAUCAUCUUUUAAUUAUAAUAGAUUUUUUUUUGAAAUUCAAUGAAUAUCAAACUAACUCGUAUUCUCGAAGCUUCCACGACCUUUUAAAAGUUGUAAUUGUGUGAUGUGUGUGACUUGGGUGCAAUGAUUGUGUCAUUUAAUCCAUUGAGUCAUAAUGUUAUAUCAUUACAACAUUCUUUAGGAACAACCUUGUUCUUAAAAACUGUAUAGACAUAUUGAUCUUGUAACAAAGCUAUGGGCUCCUAACAUAUGGUUACCUUGCCCUCGUCUAUUUAAUAGUUUUUUCUGGGUUGCAUUAUGCUCAUAUUUGCAACACAAUAGUCAUUUUUCUUAUGUAUUUUCAAGCCCUUGAAUUUUGACCUUGUAGCUUCACUGCCUUUCCUCUAAAAACAAAUGGUGAUCAUUUUACAAUCAAAUAUCAUAGGUGUCAAUCAUGGUGGAAAAAUUCCAAAAUUGAACGUCCAACCAUUUAAUUUUCCAUUUGUUAAUGUGUGAAUGUGGUUCCACAAUUUCAUGCAUCUCAUUUGACUUGGGUCUAUCGGUCCUUGCAAUUUUCCCACCAUUUGAGGAGAUAUAAACUUGUGGCCAUCUUGGUAUCCACCAAAACCAUAAAUGAAACAUUAUUCAAGUUUUGUGUUAAUCUUGAGGUAGUGGGUCUAAUAUUUUGAAAAGGGUAUGAGUGGUUUAAUUCAAAGAGACUCAAGUUGAUACACUGCAUGAUUUCAUCUUCCUCAGUGCUGUUCACUUCUAGGGUAACACAUUUUCUUCUUUAUUGAACAUUUUAUCAUCAAUCAAGAUCACUAAGUAGAGUUAUUUUUCAAUAUAUUGAUGGACUGAAUGGUAGGAUUCCCCACAUAUGAAGUAGAGGCCGCAAGAUAUGUGAUUCAUAAGUCUUGAGUGUGGCAGAUGUUUAACUCCCCUAACGUGAUUGUUGAUUCCCUUUCGCUCUUUACCGUUAGGGGAGUGUUCCGUGUAAGAAUUUAUAGAAAGACUUUGAUUAGGAUUUACCACUAUUUUGACCUCGUUGGGUUGAGAAAUCUAUAUUGACUCACUAUCAUAAUUCCCACGAGUUAGGCCUGAGUUAUAACUCGACCCAUUAGUAUCCCUAACACCUAGCCCAUAAUUAAAUAUGUUUCAUCCUUUCUCCUUUCCACUACAAAUUUUAUGACUCCUUCAUCUUCUUGGCGCCGACAAACCUCGAAAUUCAAUGUCUCGAGCGAGUUUCAUAACCUUAAUUUGGUUUUGAGGACUAAAGGUUCCCACCCUCAAGCAAACUUCAGGCUUUAGAUCUUUUAGAACAUACCCUAUGUAUUUUUUUUAGGGAGUUGACGAACUUAAUAAGAUGCAUAUUUAAAUCCAGUUAUAUGUUCCUCAACCUCUCUUAUUUGAUGAAGAUCUUUUAACUCCUUGAAUGUAUUAUCACUUUUUCUUCCUCCUUAAUGCUCAAUCAAUGACUUCUUAAAUUUCAACCAAGUGAGACCAUCCUUUGUUCCUUUCAUGCCUCGUUUCACCAAUUUCAUCUUCAUCGCCUUCAAGGAAUGUUUCACCAAAAGCAUGUUUUUUCACGUGUAAUCCACCAUAAAAGAUCUUUGUCGUCAAAUGAUGGGAACUCAAGCUCCAUCUAGAAUUCACACCUAAUUUCAUCACUUUUAGGUAAACGUUAUGCCUUUAGUAUGGGACGAUUCAACAAGUUUACGAACUUCGCCAACAUGUUAUGAUGUUGUUUUUCCAAUGUUUCUCACAUUGAAUCUUUAAACAUCACCAAUCUAACAUCUAACGUGUCUACACGAUCUAUUAUCUUUGGCGCAAUUUGUGAUUCUAAUUCAUUAGCUCUCCUAGUCUGACACACAAUCUAUUAUGUUUGGUGCCAUUUGUAAUUCUAAUUCAAUAGCUCUCCUUGUUUGAUAGGUUGGGCCAAUGAUACAAAUCAAAAUUAAGGGUGAGAAAAUGUUUAUUAUUAAAUUGAAAAUGGUGAACUUAAGAGCUCAACAAUAGUGAAACAUAACAAGAGGACGUAAGCAUGAGUUCUACGAACUCUUAAACCAAACAUAAACUCCUAAAUCAGAGAGAAAUUUCUCCUAACUAAUUACAAACUUUUUUUUAAUGCAUAACUCAUUUCCCUAUCUUUUCUAUAGCAAAAAAAAACUCUAAAAAAUUUAAUGAAAAACCCAACUAACUAUUAUUCUCAAAGUUUCCACAACCUUCUAAAAGUUAUAAGUGUGUUAGGUCCAAGUUAGGACCUUCUAAAAGUUGUAAGUGUGUUAUUUGUGACUCAGGUCCAAUGAUUGAGUCAUUUAAUCCAUUAGGCCAUGGUGUUCUAUCAUUAUCCAUUCAUAUUUGCAGGGAAUUGCUUAUCCCAUCAUAAGUGGUGGAAAAACAUCUUAAGGAAUUCCAAAAAUGUCCUUCAUAUUUCAGAAAUACAUUUUCGAACGCACCCUGAUCACACUAAAAUGCACGUUAACUUAGUCUCGUCCCAUUUUUUUCCCAAAAUAUAGUCUGGAGAUGCAUCUCCAGACCCACCUUGUGAAUGAAUUUUCUAAAUUAUCAACUUAGUGAUAAAUUCAGAGAUGCAUUUCCAAAUUUGUGAAACGGAAAUUUAAAAUAUAUCACAUUUGCAUAAAUAUCUGGAAUAUCUCAUAAGAUAUGGUUGAAUUUCUAAGGUUCAUAUUGGCCUAAAUCAUGUGUAAAUAAGGGUCUCUCAUCUCAUAUUUUUUACAAAAUCACAUUACACAAGAAUAUCAUAUAUUGGCAUGUCGCAUUUGUCUACUUCAACGACGCGAAUGUCUCACUUGAAUUUAAGAUCACUGAGUACACCUCUCUUGUAGAUAUGAAAUACACACUGCAGAAUCUUCUAGAAUACUCUGACAAUGUCAAACUCGAGUAUCACCAAAGAUUGAGUUGAAGACGAAUGAAGAUUUAAAGGUUAUGUAAAAUACAUUUCACCGUUACAAACACAAAAGGUUCGAUCGAGUUGGAUGGAAAAAUUGAGAGAUCCACCAAAGAUAUUUAAAUGUUCGAUCAAGCUGAAUGAAAAAAUUGCAAGAUCCACCAAAAAUAUUUUGAAGAUGUUGAAAUGUCUUACUUAAUGAUGAAAUGAAUUGUUUGAUCUAUGUUAACAAUUAUAUAUUUAAUGUUUAGUUUUUUAUAUAUGUCAUAAUAAUUAUCGAUGUUAAUUUAUCCCCGUUUAUGCAUCUGUUUUGAUUCUAGAUUUAUUUUUUUGCAUCCGUUUAAAAUUUAAAAAUAUAUUUUUUAAGGUACACAGAGAUGCAUUUCCAGAUUAAAUUUAAUCAUGAAAUAGGGACGUAACUCAAAACGAAUGAAUUGAGUGUGAAUAAAAUCCGUCAGGAGAUGCAUUUCGAAAAUUUGAAGGUAAUUUUUAUUUUUCACUAUCCUUUGUUGUAUUUUACAUUCUCAAAUCCAUGGUGUUCUAUCAUAAUCCAUCCAUAUUUGUUGUAUUAUACAUUCUCAAAUCUCAAACAUUAGGAGAAUUUUUUACAAAAAUAACCCACUUUUUCAAGGAAAUUCCCAAAAUACCCCUGGUUUCCAUUUGCGACACUCCGUCAUGACCAUGUGUUAACUGACGCGGUCAUGCCAACUGAAGAAAAACCAAGUCGUACUUAUAUGACUUGCUACAAAUCGGUUGGUUUUCAGUUCAUCGUCGAGGAUAUGUACUUAUAUGGAGUGCGGUGUUAAUGUCCGGGCAAGUAUUCAGUGAGUGUUGCAUGAAGGUCAUGAAAGAGGAGAGCAUCAAAGCUAACACACACGCUGUAACAGUCUUUGACCAUCAUAGACAAAAUUUCAGCGUCCAGGAAACAAUGGAUCACAAUGAGGGGAGACCAAAUUUAGCAUAUGCUAUUAGACUAAACAGAAGUUGGUGCGAUUGUGGAAAAUUUCAGGCAUUCCUUGCUCCCAUGUCAUUGCAGCAUGCGCUUAUACUCGUCAAGACGCUUACAACCAUUUAUCUGAUGUGUACAAGACCGUCACUGUCAUGAAUGUAUAUAAUCAAAGCUUCUCGGUACUACCAAUGGAGGAAUACUGACCUCCAUAUGAAGGUGAUAUAGUUUAGCACAAUGACGAGAUGCGUAGAAAGAAAAAAGAAAGGCCAAACAACACGCAUAUCAGGACAGGGAUGGAUUCCACAAAUAAAAUGAUAAGAUUAUGUAGUAUCUGUCGUCAACCAGGACACAAGAAGAACAAUUGUCCCAAUCGAUGAGAAUCAUCUGGGUCUUAAACUUUUUGUAACAUUGUAUUUCUAUAACCUUCAAUCAUUAUAUAUCGUUAACUUUUUGUUACAACGAGGUUCACAACAAACAUCAGUACAAAAUAAGCUAUCUAAAAACAUAAAUAUUUCUAACUGAUUACAACAAUCAAAUUGAUGUCAUCUCGACCGAACAUCAUUUCCCUAGCAUCCUUAUCAGUCUUGAUUCACACCCAACCAAAGAUACUGCCGAGUCUCUCAAUACUUCUAAUUUUUCCCCUUCUGGUAUUUUCCCAUCUAACCAACGAACCAGGCCCCUCUUUAGUUGAUCGAACGUAGUGAUGUUCCAGAACAACAUCAGCAUCUGAGGUUUGUCUCUCG